rnacentral:lncRNA from 1 species
CUAGAGAAAAAUCAGAAACAACGCCCUACUGUUCCUUCAUCUUCCUCAGAUUUCAACUCACCUCAACUCGCCCGAGUUCACUCAAAUGGUCCCCUUCCCUCCACGUUAUUUGAUUCCCAACAGUUUUUGUUAGAAAGAAUUCGAAUAUUCUCUCAAAAUCGCACAAUUUUGGGUACGAAAGAACGAUUUGUUGGAUGAAUGGGAGCUGUGGAUAGAUGUAAGUCGAUCCACGCCCUCCAUUUGUCCCAAAAUUGUUCAAAAAACUCGAAGAUAUUUGGAUUUUUGGGCAGAUUUUUGAGAUUUUUUGAAGGCUAUAUAUAUGAGGUAAGUUCUAUGUGCUAGGUUAGAGGGAGAUCAGAGAAAAAUCUUCAGAACUUAGCCGAGUAAUUUUCUAGGGUUUUAGUUGUUAUCGUCUUCAAGUCUACUUUUUCUUCAAAAAUAAAACAUACCAAAAAGAGCACAAUGGUCUGAGUUCAAUUUUUCUAGUCGAGUUUACUUUAUUUUUUAGAGAAAAAUAAAAAAAAAAAUCACUGAGCACAGAUAUGUCUUAGUGCUUGUUCUUUCUUUUGAAGUUCUGUUUUUCUCAAGAGAACUUGAUUUUGAAAAUUCAAGUUAUAGUCGAGUUUGUUUUGGAGUUCAAAAUUUCGGUUAGUGGCUCAAUUCAAGUUGGUUGAUUCUUGUCUUCUUGUUGCUGUUCGUUUCAAGCUCUAAGCCGCGGUUUUGCUCGAGUCGAUCUAGUUGCUGUAAUCCCUGAAGUUUUUUGUUAAUUAAAAGGUUCAUCUCUUCACUCCUUCUUAAUUUGUUCUGGUAUUGAUCAAAAUGUGAUGAUGGCUGAGACUUUGCUAGAUUGGAAGUGUUUAUGAGCUGGUUCAUGAGAAACCAGUCUGUGAUGCAGUUUUUUUUUGUUUUCUUUCUUGGCUCCGGAUACAUCUCCCUUAUUCUAUUCGUUCUGUGUGCUCCAAUUCAUUCGGGUUAUACCCUGUGUUGCCUUGUUAUUUACUGGUGAAUGGUGUAUAAAUUCAUUUUUCUUUACCAUACAGAAUUCAUGUCUGUUCUUGAAUUGAUUAAAAUUUCCAAACAUUGAAUGCUAAGGUUGGGUAUGGUCUGGAUAAGCCAACAGCUUUAUAAAAUAUGAGUGUCACACAGUUUUUAAUGAAAUACACUAACUUCCACAAGCAGCUUGUAUUUAGUUGAGAUCCACAUUGUCCUUUUAAGAGAUACUGUUGAUGUUAGUAAGUAGUUAAGAAAAAAAACUUUUAAGUCAUGAAUCAUGAUUCUUUUAAUUGCAUUUGAAGCAAAAACAUCAAUGGUGAAUAAUGAAACAAAACUGGAAAGCAGAGAACAACUAGAGCAGUUAGCUUCACUGAUUCUCUUUGAGCUCGAAAUGUACAUGUGAGAGAAUGCAAAGCAAUGACUACAUCAGAAGAAAAUUGUUCUAGAGUUAACUUUCUUUCCUUUUUGAUGUAUUGGCUAUCUGUGUAUGGUGAACGUGAUAUCAGGAAAUGUGUGUCUUCUAUCACUAUUACUCCUUGUUAAGUCAUAUGUAAUUGACUUGUUAUGAUAUCAGUAGACUUACUUAUGUUUAGACAUAGUUUAAAUGUUUUCUUUUGUGCUGUUUUGUUGCCUAUACGGCCCUGCCAUUCAAGAGAACAUGGUGAUUUCUUAGGCUUGCAUAUCACUGUUGAAAUGCAUCUAUCUUAGUGUUUGACAAAAGAAUAUGUCACACAUAGGAUUAACAAGAUGACUGAAGUUGGUUAAAAUUAAGUCAAAUUGAAUGUUAGUUUAAAGUCAUUUACCUGCUACAUGCUAAUAUUUUUAUAUAACAGUGUGACGACCCGACUAGUCAUCGCAUGAAUUACCGCCCUGUUUUUCCUAUUUUUGCUUCUUUAUGCUUCGUUAUUCGUGUUUUAUGUGGUCGAGUUGAUUGGUUUGCAUUUGGUGUGAUUUUAGUAAGAAAUGAGACACUUAGUCUCUUUUAAGAAGGCUUAAGUUGGAAAAGUCAACUAGAUGUUGACUUAUGAGUUAGAGGGCUCGGAUGUGAGUUCUUAUGGUUCGGUUAGCUUCGGGAGGUGACUUGUGACAUAGGAGUGUGAUCGGAAGUGGUUUUGGAGGCCCAGUGUAGAAUUAGGCUUGAAUUGGCGAAGUUAGUAUUUUGGCAAUUUCUGGUUGAUAGGUGAGAUUUUGAUCCGGGGAUCGGAAUGAAAUUUCGAGAGUUACUGUAGCUUUGUUAUGUCAUUUGUGAUGUGAGUGCAAAAUGUUAGAUCAUUCGGACACGGUUUGGUUGGGUUUUGAUCAAAAGUGUGUUUCAGAAGUUUCUAGAAAAGCUAGGCUUGAAUUCGAUGUGAACUGAUGUAUUUGGUGUUGUUUGAGGUGUUUUGAUGAUUAGAACAAGUUUGAAUGAGGUUUUAGGAUGUGUUGGUACUUUUGGUUAAGGUCCCGGGGGCCUCGGGUGGUUUCGGAUGGCUAACGGGAAGUUUUGAGUCAUUGGAGAUUGCAGAAAAUGCAGCAGCAGUUGCAGAGGAUUUUUGGCCUUCGCGAUCGCGUGAGGUCCCUCGCGAUCACGUAGAAGGAAGUUGGGUGGCCCUGCAUUUGUGCUUCGCAUUAACGUCUGCUGCCUCGCAUUCGCGAAGGGGCCUUGAGGUUAUGCUUUGCGUCCGCGUGAUGGGUAUCGCGUUCUCAUAGUGGAGAUGGGCACGUGAAGGUCGAGGAGCUAUUGCUCUUCGCGCUCGCGUAAGUGGUAUCGCGUUCGCGUAGGUUCAAAGUUCCAAAGCAUCGCAUUCACGGGUGUGGUGCCGCAUUCGUGAAGGGUUAUUUGUGGUUCAAGGAAAAUUGUGCAUCACGAACGCGUGGGUUUGACCGCGUUCGCGAAGGAGGGAUUUCCAAAACUGAACAGUGAAGUUUUUAAACAUUUCCUCCGUGAGUUUUAGUCUUUUUUCCACCAUAGUUGAGUAUUUUGAGAGCUCUUUGAGGGGAAUUGAAGAGGGAUUCAAGGAGAAUUGGUUGGAGGUAAGUUCUAUGAACCACAAACGUGAUUAUAUUGUGAAGUUAACCUAGAAAUUCAUGGAAAUUUAGCUAAAAAUAGAAGAACUAGGGCCUGGGAUUUUGAGAUUUUAAAUUGGGAUUUGAAGGGACAUUUGAGGUCGGAUUUGAGAAAUUUUGAUAUGUAUGAACUCGUGGCGAGAUAAGGAACCCGUUGAUGUGAAAAUUUCUGAGUUUCCAGAAGUAAACCCGGGGCUCGGGUUUUGCUAAUUUCGGGAUUUUUGAUAUUUUUCGAUUGUUUUCGCUUGGCCUUUUUCCCCUUAGCAUAUUGUGACGUAUUCGCUCUGGUUUUGGUUAGAUUCGAUGUCCGAGAGGCUGAUUUGAGAGGCAAAGGCAUAGCGAGCUAGAGCUUUAGCCGGUUCGAGGUGAGUCAUGAAUGUAAAUGAUAUCCUGAGUGUUUGAAACCCCAGAUUUGCACAUCGUAGUGCUAUAUUGAGGUGAGACACGCGCUUGAUGAUGAGAGUGGGGUCAUGUACUAUUGAGGAUUGGGACUUGGUCCGUCCUGAGUGUUGUUUUUACCGUGCAUUUUGAUUGAAGCUUAUUUGUUAUCAUCAUUGUUUGGACUAAUUGCCAUACUUGGACUUCGUGCCAACUAUUUGAACCCUUCGGGGAGUUUUAUCACUAUUUCCUCACUGUUUUGACUUACUACUUGAACUUACUCGUACCGUUUUCCACUGUUUUACAACUCAACCACUUUUUACUCGGUUUUGAAACUAAAAUGAUACAUAUUAAAUGAUAUUUUGGGCUGAGAACUACUGUUUUACUAAUGCCCGAGGGGCUUAUAUGAUUUCUGGACGGAGUACGGCCAAAGGCCAGAUGGGAGGAUACUAUGGGAUCGGGCUGCGCGCUGCAACAGUGUUAUACUGAUAUUGAUACGAGGCUGAGGGCCUAGAUUUGAUGCCACGAGAUGACUUGAUAUUGUGCUUGGGCCGUAAGGGGCCCCUCCCGGAGUCUGCACAUCCCCAGUGAGCGCCGUCAACGAUAAAUGUAUGGAUCGGGUUACACGCCGUAGCAGGUACUAUAGGGUACCGUUCUAUGUGUUGAUUUUCUUUAUAUGUCUGUCACCUAACUGCUUAUUUGUGGUAGCAUUUCCACAUUUCGUUUCCAUUGGUUUAUUACUUUCAUAUUACUUAUUUAAAAUGCUGCAUUAUAGAUUACUCUGUGUUUCUUCGUGAUUUCUUAUUCUCAGUCAUUAUUUAUGCUUAUUACUCACUGGUUCGGAGUACUCACAUUACUCCCUGCACCUUGCGUGCAGAUCCAGGUGCAUCUGAGGCUAAGUGAGGAUUUUUAGUUGAGAAGCGCAUAUCCGGGAGCAUCGAGGUAGCUGCAUGGCAUCCGCAACCCUGAUCUCUCCUUUCUAUCCUUUUGUUUUAUN